GUAGUCAUUGAACAGAAGUUUGAGCGAUCUUUAAUUUAUGGCGCACUCACACCAUACAAACUUAUUGUGCAAUAUUAUCGAUCAUGUGUAGCGAGCCUAAAACGAAUCCGAUCGUGUUCGUCCCCACCAUACCAUCGUAUAACCUCGUUCGGUGUUUAUGACCAUGUGCAUUGACUCGGUGUAUUGGUAGAGUCACUGACAGACUUUGACGAGGCCAACAUGAGAGGACAGAUCACUUUUCUGUCUUUAUAUGGUGACAGUCCAAUAUCUUGAGUGUAUUUGUGGAAAAACCAAUUGAAAUAACCAAACAAUGGUUCGUGUGAUAAAGCAAGAGACUUAUGAUGAUGUUGUGCGCGAAAAUAUCGAGGAUUUCGCGAUGUCAGCUGAGGAAGUGAUCGAGGAUGCAAUCAAACAAUUCGAAGUACAAAUGUGACCAAUAUCAUAAAAGACCUGGCUCUGACCGAUGUCGAAAACGUUACUGUAAUAUGUUUGGAAAUCAAAACAGCUUUGGAAAAUGAUAACUACGAGGACCUCAUUCAAGUGCUCGAAAGGCUUCAAACUGAGCUUGACAAAGAUAUUGCCCGUCGAGUCUACGCAGGCAAAGAAGGAGCGUAUCAAACUCCUAUUCAACUUUUGAAGAAAAGCCUCGACGAUACAGCUCUCCUGGAAGUUACUCUCAAAACUCUCACUUCCUUCAUGACUGGCAAUCCUGAUCUUCUUGACAGUGAUGGCAUUGAAUUGCAAAUGAAGGUGGCAGUACACAUGGCGGAAUUAUUGUGUUGUUAUGGUGAGAUCGAUUAUCGAGUUCGACCUCUCAUAUUCACAAUACGACAUUGGGCUCAACACGUUGGAAUCACGAAUCCCGCACUCGGUCGUUGGAUCACAAAUAUUUCUAUUACUUUCCUCGUACUGUUUUAUCUCCAACUAAAACGUAUUCUACCCUUUUCUAAUGAAUUUGAGCGUCCUCCAAGUUAGUCCAUUCAUUUCAACGUAAGGCACGACGAGUAUGGGUGAUGAUUUGAACCCAGAUGAAUGAUCAAGUAUCGAUGAUGACGUUGAAACGAAUCCUUCCCUUUUUUCUCUGCCACUUACUUAAUUCACAGCUCUUUUACUGUGGGAGAAAAAAUGUGGCAAGAAUAACCAAUUUCUACGAGUGUUACAAGCGCUAAAAAAUGAGAAUUUAAU
rnacentral:misc_RNA from 1 species